AAGAUUAAGCCAUGCAUGUCUAAGUAUAAACAAAUUUAUACCGUGAAACUGCGAAUGGCUCAUUAAAUCAGUUAUAGUUUAUUUGAUAGUACAUUACUACUUGGAUAACCGUGGUAAUUCUAGAGCUAAUACAUGCUAAAAGUCUUGGCCUCCGGUCAAGAUGUAUUUAUUAGAUAAAACCAAUGUCUUUUUGACUCGUUGGUGAUUCAUAAUAACUUGUCGAAUCGCAU
rnacentral:rRNA from 1 species